GACGAACGCUGGCGGCGUGCCUAAUACAUGCAAGUCGAACGCAUUUUCUUUCACCGUAGCUUGCUACACCGAAAGAAAAUGAGUGGCGAACGGGUGAGUAACACGUGGGUAACCUGCCCAUCAGCGGGGGAUAACACUUGGAAACAGGUGCUAAUACCGCAUAAUUCCAUUUACCGCAUGGUAGGUAGAUGAAAGGCGCUUUUGCGUCACUGAUGGAUGGACCCGCGGUGCAUUAGCUAGUUGGUGGGGUAACGGCCUACCAAGGCUGCGAUGCAUAGCCGACCUGAGAGGGUGAUCGGCCACACUGGGACUGAGACACGGCCCAGACUCCUACGGGAGGCAGCAGUAGGGAAUCUUCGGCAAUGGACGCAAGUCUGACCGAGCAACGCCGCGUGAGUGAAGAAGGUUUUCGGAUCGUAAAACUCUGUUGUUAGAAAAGAACAAGGAUGAGAGUGGAAAGUUCAUCCCUUGACGGUAUCUAACCAGAAAGCCACGGCUAACUACGUG
rnacentral:rRNA from 1 species